rnacentral:rRNA from 1 species
CAGCAGCCGCGGUAAUACGUAGGUGGCAAGCGUUGUCCGGAAUUAUUGGGCGUAAAGGGCUCGCAGGCGGUUUCUUAAGCCUGAUGUGAAAGCCCCCGGCUCAACCGGGGAGGGUCAUUGGAAACUGGGAAACUUGAGUGCAGAAGAGGAGAGUGGAAUUCCACGUGUAGCGGUGAAAUGCGUAGAGAUGUGGAGGAACACCAGUGGCGAAGGCGACUCUCUGGUCUGUAACUGACGCUGAGGAGCGAAAGCGUGGGGAGCGAACAGGAUUAGAUACCCCCGUAGUCCCUGUCUCUUAUAC